ACCUGUUAGCCUGUGUUGUGGGUCAGAAAAUGGGUCCAGUGUGGGUUCAACUCAGCCACAAGCAGCAAUGACUGCUGUCCUCAGAUUGUUCAGCAGAUCCCUUUUGUGCUUUCUUCUCCACCAUCCCCUGCCUACUGAUACUUUUCCAGGCUCCUACAACCUCCCACUAACUUCAUGCCUUUGUCACUCUGUGCUUUGCUUCCGCCUCUAGCAUCUGAUUGACCCUCCUUCCCUCCUUCUGGUCCUGUCCACAGUGAAAGGAUCCUUUCUGCUUUGAUCUCAGGGUUGCUAUGGAAGCGGAAGAUGCAGAGGACUCGAAGAAGCAAGGAGGGUGCUGCCGCUUUCCUGUCUGCACUUUGUUCUUAGGGGGGCUUCUCUGCUCUCACGUCCUUUUGUUUUUAUAAGGACAAUUAUUUCAUUAUAAUUUCAUUUUUUUUUUUCUGCAGAAGGAUCAAGUGCACACACUUGCCAUUCAAGGCAACGCCCACACUGAAUCCAGCCUUUUUCAGCUUGUUCACAGCAAACUCCUUCAAGUAUAACAUGUGCUGCCUCAGCUUCUCCACGUUUACGGUGUUUAUGAAGAUCCGUAACAGCUGGCUCCAAACCCGGCCCCUAGCAGAAUCGUUUCUGGGAGGAUUCUGAAGACGCUGUUUCAGCUUCAAGACCAGCAAGAAAUUCUUUUCACCCCUUGUUGUGGUCCUUCCCACCGUAAUUCCAUGCCUCUCGUCAUCAACUAAGCACAGAGCCACCCCACAAUAUUUCCAGUUCAUUAAAAGCCGAAAUUUGCAUCUGGCUAAGAAUUCAAUCAUCAUGUCACUUUAUGUCAUUCAAUUUUGUAUCAUCCCAGGAAACAAGGUUCCCGAGGAAUGAGGCAGACUUUUCAGUUCUUUCUGGCGGAACUGUGUGUUCAUCAGGAUGGCGUUGAUCUGUCCGUAUCCAUGGGAUGUCAGUUCUCUCCACAAGCCCCGAUCUGUCUGUGGCUACCAUCAAUAAAGCCCUUUAAGCAGAUCUGUACAUUCGGGGGCCGGCUGGCGAGGCACGUGCCAUGAAGCACCCCUUCCCCAAUAAUCACACUCUUGU